rnacentral:rRNA from 1 species
UACGUAGGGUGCAAGCGUUGUCCGGAAUUAUUGGGCGUAAAGAGCUCGUAGGCGGUUUGUCGCGUCUGCUGUGAAAACUCGGGGCUUGACCCCGGGCCUGCAGUGGGUACGGGCAGACUAGAGUGCGGUAGGGGAGACUGGAAUUCCUGGUGUAGCGGUGAAAUGCGCAGAUAUCAGGAGGAACACCGGUGGCGAAGGCGGGUCUCUGGGCCGAUACUGACGCUGAGGAGCGAAAGCGUGGGGAGCGAACAGG